GAACGACCCAGAACUAUGUCUGGAAGUGGCACACUGCUCAGUAACACGUAGCUAACCUACCCUUAGGACGUGGAUACCCCCGAGAAAUUGGGGUUAAUCCGCGAUAGAUGUAAUGUCCUGGAAUGGUAUUACGUCUAAAGGUAUUUCAUACAUGUUUGAAAUAUGCUAAGGAUGGGGCUGCGGCCGAUCAGGCUGUUGGUGAGGUAAUGGCUCACCAAACCUUUGACCGGUACGGGCCAUGAGAGUGGUAGCCCGGAGAUGGACACUGAGACAAGGGUCCAGGCCCUAAGGGGCGCAGCAACCGCGAAACCUCCACAAUGCACUCACGUGCGAUGGGGCUAUCUCGAGUGCCACCUGAUGAAGGUGGCUUUUCCUUGGUCUUCAAAGCCUUGGGAAUAAGAGGGGGGCAAGACUGGUGUCAGCCGCCGCGGUAACACCAGCCCCUCGAGUGGUGGGGAUGAUUAUUUGGCCUAAAGCGUCCGUAGCCGGCCGUGAAAGUCUUCCGUUAAAUCCAGCGUCUCAAGCGUUGGACCGCGGGAGAUACUACAUGGCUAGAGAGUGGGAGAGGUCAGCGGUAUUCUGGGGGUAGGGGCGAAAUCCUUUGAUCCCCGGAGGACCACCAGUGGCGAAGGCUGCUGACUAGAACACGUCUGACGGUCAGGGACGAAAGCUGGGGUAGCGAACCGGAUUAGAUACCCGGGUAGUCCCAGCCGUAAACGAUGCAUGCUAGGUGUUGGGUUGGCCACGAGCCACCCCAGUGCUGCAGGGAAGCCGUUAAGCAUGCCGCCUGGGAAGUACGAUCGCAAGAUUGAAACUUAAAGGAAUUGGCGGGGGAGCACCACCAGGCGUGAAGCCUGCGGUUUAAUUGG
rnacentral:rRNA from 1 species